rnacentral:rRNA from 1 species
UACGUAGGGGGCUAGCGUUGUCCGGAAUCAUUGGGCGUAAAGAGCGUGUAAGCGGCUCGGUAAGUCCGCUGUGAAAGUCGGGGGCUCAACCCUCGGAUGCCGGUGGAUACUGUCGGGCUAGAGUACGGAAGAGGCGAGUGGAAUUCCUGGUGUAGCGGUGAAAUGCGCAGAUAUCAGGAGGAACACCUAUUGCGAAGGCAGCUCGCUGGGACGUUACUGACGCUGAGACGCGAAAGCGUGGGGAGCAAACAGG